GUUAUACUCCCUCGUCCCAAAAUUCUUGUCUUAGAUUUGUCUAGAUACGGAUAUAUCUAAUACUAAAACGUGACUUGAUACAUCCGUAUUUAGACAAAUCUAAGACAAGAAUUUUGGGACGGAGGGAGUAUGUU
rfam:Triticum urartu cultivar G1812 contig578142, whole genome shotgun sequence.